GUUAGUACGCCUCUUGUGGCAGUUGUCGGCAGCCCAACAUCAACCAGCUGAUCACUCACUGCAGAUUCUAAUGCAAAGUUAUGGCCUUGAUUGAGUGCUUACUUGACUACUUGUUUACGCGUUGCCUACGACAAUCACUCAUAAUGACGUCUCCCGGUUCAAUUUCAGAAGUACAUACGAACAAAGCCACCUCUUGGUUACAACAUGAGCCAGGCCCAUGCAUGAACGAAGGUAAACGAGACAAGCCGACCUUCUUAUCUCCCGUGUAUCUCCGUAACCGAAACAUACAGUAAGACUUCACGGUGAUUUAUGCGGCCAAUAAAGUUUUACCUCUAA